UCAUAGCUCAGCUGGAUAGAGCACUUGGCUGCGAACUAAGGGGUCGGGAGUUCGAAUCUCUCUGAGC
rnacentral:ncRNA from 20 species